UACGAAGGGUGCAAGCGUUAAUCGGAAUUACUGGGCGUAAAGGGUGCGUAGGCGGGUCUUUAAGUCAGAGGUGAAAUCCUGGAGCUCAACUCCAGAACUGCCUUUGAUACUGAGGAUCUUGAGUACGGGAGAGGUGAGUGGAACUGCGAGUGUAGAGGUGAAAUUCGUAGAUAUUCGCAAGAACACCAGUGGCGAAGGCGGCUCACUGGCCCGUUACUGACGCUGAGGCACGAAAGCGUGGGGAGCAAACAGG
rnacentral:rRNA from 1 species